AGAGGUUGAUCCUGGCUCAGGACGAACGCUGGCGGUGUGCUUAAUACAUGCAAGUCGAACGAUGAGUUCUUUCGGGAACCAUCAGUGGCGGACGGCUGAGUAACGCGUAGGUAACGUGCCCUUUACUGGGGGAUAACAUCGGGAAACCGGUGCUAAUACCGCAUAAGUCACGAGUUGAAAUAUGGUGAUUAAAGAAUUUCGGUAAAGGAUCGGCCUGCGUCUGAUUAGCUAGUUGGUAGGGUAACGGCCCACCAAGGCGAUGAUCCGUAGGGGGCGUGAGAGCGUGGCCCCCCACAUUGGCACUGAGACACGGGCCAAACUCCUACGGGAGGCAGCAGUGAGGAAUAUUGCGCAAUGGGCGAAAGCCUGACGCAGCAACGCCGCGUGAGGGACGAAGGCCUUCGGGUCGUAAACCUCUUUUCUGAGGGACGAGCAGGACGGUACCUCAGGAAUCAGUCUCGGCUAACUACGUGCCAGCAGCCGCGGUAAAACGUAGGAGGCGAGCGUUAUCCGGAUUUACUGGGCGUAAAGCGCACGCAGGUGGCACGGCAAGUCGGUUGUGAAAGCUCCUGGCUUAACUGGGAGAGGCCAAGCGAAACUGCCGGGCUUGAGGUUGGGAGAGGGGUGCGGAAUUCCCGGUGUAGCGGUGGAAUGCGUAGAUAUCGGGAGGAACACCAGUGGCGAAGGCGGCACCCUGGCCCACACCUGACGCUGAGGUGCGAAAGCGUGGGGAGUAAACAGGAUUAGAUACCCUGGUAAUCCACGCCGUAAACGAUGUCAACUGGGUGUCGGUAGGUUACCUAUCGGUGCCGAAGCUAACGCGUUAAGUUGACCGCCUGGGGACUACGGCCGCAAGGCUAAA
rnacentral:rRNA from 1 species